AGUGGUGAUAACAACAGUGGUGAUAACGUUAACAAUUAUGAUAGCAGUAGCAACAACAAUAACAGUUGCGCAACAGAAACCAAGAAAGAAAGGCACACUCCUAUAAACCCUGAAGUAAAAAAAAACACCCACGCUGAAUUCGAUUUAAACAAUAUAGCUUUUUUUGGCAUACAUUUACAUGAUUUUAAUUUCGAUUGUGAAGAAACAUUUAAUGAAGAAUUUAAGAAAUAUGUAAAUUUGUAUACCAUUGAAAAAAAAAGUAAUAAUUAUAUUUAUUUAAAAAAAAAAAUCAAAAAUAAAACGGAUCAGCAAUUGAUAGAAGCCAUUAAAAGAAACAUUACACACAUUAUAAACGUUUUAAGAACAUUAAGAAAUAAGGAAGUAUGUUUUAUAUCUCCGCGAAAUUAUUAUGAUGACGUGUCGAAAAAAACAAGAAAUCAUAAAAAAAAACGUAAAAAUGAAAAAACAAACUCAAAUAAUACAAAAACAAAUUCAAAUAAUACAAAAACAAACUCAGGUAAUACAAGAACAAACUCAGGUAAUACAAAAACAAACUCAGAGGAUACAAAAACAAACUCAGAGGAUACAAAAACGUCUAUGGUUAUAAACAGUAAUAAUAAAAACUUAAAUUCAGAAAAGUCGUUUAAAACAAAUAAUAAUAAUUCGACGAAUAUUGUAAUUAACGAUUUAAAGAAUACAUUUCAUUCUGAAUCUGUCGGUUGUACGAAUGAAUAUGUGAAUGAUAGUAAUUUAAAUGAAAAGGAAGAAAAACAUAAAAAAAAAUAUAUCUACAUAAAAAGUGAACAUAAUUUAAAGAAACCUUUUUUUUUAGGUGUACAUGAUACAUUUGUACCUUUCGAAAUGGAAAAUUUAAUUUCUAAACUAAUACAUUAUAAUAUUAGGGAUAAAGAAAUAAUAACAAAAAAUAAGAAGAAAUUAUAUAAGCAACAGUAUGAACAUGCUAGAGUUCCUACUACUAUAAAAAAUGAUAACAAUGGUAAUAAAAUAAAUGAAAAUUGUGAAGACUGUAAUCAUGAUUAUGAUUACGAUUAUGACAACGAUUAUGAUCACGACUAUGAUCACAUUAGUAAUAAAAAUGGACAGUUAGGUUUGGAAACAAAUGAAAAAAUUAACGAUGAUAAAUAUAUUGCUUGUGAUAACGAACCCAUGAAAAAGAAACAAUGCGAACAGAAUCCAAUUGGGGUGAAUACACGAAUAGCAUUAAAUUUAAAUAUAAAUGUGAAUGAUAGUAUAGACAAAAGCGUGGAUGCAGAUAUAGAGGUAGGUGUUACAGGUACUGAAAUGGGUAAAGUAACAACUACCGAAUAUAAUGAUAACCUUUACGAUUCAUAUAAAGAAAUAGGUGAACCAAAUUCGAAUAUAAUAGGUACAACAACUUCGAACGCAUUAAAAUUACAGCAAAUGUACAGAAGCGAUAAAAAAAAAAAAGAAGACAGUUUUUCACAUAAUAGUUACAAUUAUGGAGAUAACCAAAUAAAUGAAAAAAAUAAAAUAAAAAAAGAGAGGAAUGUAACAGAAAAUCAUUUGAACAAUGGAAAGGAAAACAUAAAAGAUAUGAAUAGCACAACAGACAUAACUGUCAAAAAUGACACAAAUGGCAUAAAUAAUAUGAAACAUAUUAACAAUGUAAGAAGUGUUAAAGCUAAUUGGAAAGAAAAAAGCGACCUCGAUGUUUUGAAAAUAUACAUUCAACAUAAGUCUAUAGAUAAGAUAUGUUAUUUUGUAAAUAGUAGGUACAUCGACAUUUCUUUUAACAUGUUUAAAGUGUUAAAAGGUGAAAAGAAAUUAAUAUAUAGUACCUAUAUGAAUAAAGAAAAAGAAAAAAAGUUUGAAAACGGUGAUGGUUGUAAUAUCGGUAUUGGUAAUGAUGUUGUUAGUAGUAGUAAUAUUAGUAAUAAUAAUGAUGGUAGUAAUAAUAAUAAUAAUAAUAAUAAUAAUAAUAAUGGUAAUAAUAAUAAUGGUAGUAAUAAUAAUGGUAGUAAUAAUAAUGGUAGUAAUAUUAAUGGUAGUAAUAUUAAUGGUAGUAAUAGCAAUUUGAGCAAUAUGUACAAACAGGAAGGUGGUAUAAUAAGUGGUAACGAAACUGAAUAUAGUGAAACUGAUAGUGUGGUUGAGAUAGAAUAUGAAAAUGACACACAAACCGAAACGGAUAUAGAACAAGAACGAGAGUGCGAAACUGUUACUACGAACUUAAGCAAUAAUUACACAGCAAGAAACAAUAAAACUGUGAUUAUAAAUAAUAUAAUUGUCAACGAUAUGCUUGUCAACGAUAUGCUUGUCAACGAUAUGCUUGUCAACGAUAUAAUUGUCAACGAUAUAAUUGACAAGAAUGAUAAACUUUUAAAUGAUAUUGUGUCGAAUAGUAACAACAUCAAAAAUAAAUUAAAAAUAAUUCUACUAGACAACGAUUAUAAUAUAUAUUUAAUUGAAUUUUUUUUAAAGCUUUUUUUAAGAAUAA
rnacentral:lncRNA from 1 species